rnacentral:lncRNA from 1 species
CCACAUGUACAUGUAUAUGGGUGUACGUCACGUAUGUAGGUGGGCAUGCAUGCAUUGUUAGUUACACACAUAUGCAUAUGAACAUACAUAUAUCAAGACGUGUACUAGUUACAAUUACAAUGCUGAUGGAGAGUGCACAGGACACCAUUACGUGGCUGCUACUACGAGUCCACAAUUCCGGAACUUCUCGGGCUGUCGCGAAGAAACCAGUUUCUCCCUCCCUCUGAUCUAUUGCCUUUCACAUCAACACCACUUCGCUUAGCUGAUCAGUUUUGUAGAACAGAAGAAUUCCGGCGUCCCCAAACAAGUUCCAUUUCCGCCAGAGGCAGGAACAAUCGACCAGCAUAACCUUCAUCUGAGUCUACGUUCUUCAAAGCCUCUGACGCAAGAGGAAUCUGGGAAGCACGCGAGGGGGCAUGUGGACGCACGACUACGACACUCUUCGUUUCAACAAACUACGAGUCGUUCCUUUUAUCAGGAGAGGGCGUCCUGGAACAGCCAAGCGGAGUUCUGGCUUCGCCCAGACACACGUUGGAGCGUUGUUGUGCGUACAGAUCCAGAACAACAAACAUUUUCAUUCGAAGGAAAGUGUCAAAGCCCCGGAAGAAACAACGUACUCCGUCGAGAAAUAGCGGGGCGGAAGGACUGGGCGUGAUAUUACCAUCACCGAAAUCAAGGACCCUACAAAGCAUUAAAUUUGUGACCGUUCUCUUGAUUUUUGUCCUUUCCCAGAAUUGAAAGUAUAUCUGCAAGGACCAGAAGUCCUGUUCGCAGCAGCAUUGCACAGAUGUAAAAAGUCACCUAUUCGCUUGCAUCAGAGAAAUUCGUCUUCGUAUUUUGCUCCGUUUAUAGGGCAAGACGGGAGAGAACGAAAGCGGGUGUAUGCAUGAUCUGGACAGCGACUCUUAGGUUUUUGGAAGCUCAGAG